GACCUGGAGGAGCAGGACUCUUCCAUGGUCAAAUGCGAUCUGAGAUGUCUUGAAAACUGCUCUUAAGAGUGUCCUUUUACAAGAAUGGCAUGGACACAUUUACAAGGUAUGUUGUAGCCCAAUCUGAAGGAGCUCUGGUCAUGUCUUUGGAAAGUUCCCUUCCCCGGUAAAAAAAAGUAUUAACUUUUCAGGUGGUGAGUUGACUGGGAAUUCCCGUGGAAGGUAGAGAGAGAGAGACACCUGGGCAUCUCAGAGCAAGAUGACUGACCAACUAAUGUGGGGAUGUUGAACAGUGUACGAGCACUAUGGCUGUCCUGAUGAACCUCGAUCAGUAUUCUCCCACUUCUGACAAGUCUUCCUCCCCAUGAUGGAUGGCAUCCCUUUGGACUAAAAGAAACCUCCCUUCCUGGCGUCGGUCAGGUAUUACAUCACAGGGAUUAGAAAGGUAACGAAUGCACCUCAGCUCCUAAGAUCAUCCUGCCGAUUUCGGGCCUAAGUCUAAGUCAGCUUUCUGGUGGACACUGCUUUGAUAAGUGGCCCAACAUCCAUGCAUUAACUAAGCCAAAAGGUGCUCUUGGACCAAUCCCAGACUGGCUCUCCUGAGUCACGACUUCCUUGGAGUCAGCUCUUCUCCAAGCACAGAUGUAAGUGGAGACACGUCCUGGGUUUUCCCUGUGUCCUUUCUAAGCAGGGGCUGGGGCAGGACUCUGCUCACAGAGGCUUAAGCCAGGGCUGGAAGGAACAGCAGGAGAAUUUCCUUUCCUUGGCUUGGUUCUGUCACAAUAUACAUUCCUCCUAUUAAAAUACAGUGUGGUUUUUUUUUUUUUUUCCAAAUGGCAUGAUCUACUUCAACCGCCGUAUUUCAUCUGUCAUCUAGCCCCCUGCCUACCCUGAACAUUGGUCUUUUGGAACCAUUUGGGGAGAAGGGACAUGAAAAAGAAGAAGAAGAGAAAUAUAUGAUGGGGGUGUGGCUGUGAGAGGGGUGGGUGUCUAUGAAAAUUUAUGUGCUGAAAAACAGCUGUAAAAUGUUUAAUGUUUCAAUGAACGUUUUAUGUUUACAAUAAAAAAUCCUCCAGCCAAGAAGGGCUUUAAAAGUUAUAAUUCUAGACAGUGCCAAAGGAAAAAAGGCAAGGGGAACAGAUUCCACAAAGCCUUCCCCAGGGAUUGACAACCCCCACCGCAACACACACACACACACACACACACACACACACACACACACACACACACCAUUGAAUAAUAAAAGGAUCUCCCUUCACAUGAUGGAUUUAGCACCCAGCUCAAUGGUGAGGGAGACAGGGAAAACCAGUCAUAGCCCCAGGGGAGAUGACCAACAAGAGUGGAAAUUUUACUUGUUCCUUCUGAAGGCCUUGGCAAUCCAGGCUCUGGAAGGAGGGGUAGAAGGAACAGAUCAAGACACUUGGUGUAGCCGGAUGCUCGUUCAGACCUGACCAGUGAGUCAGUUCACUAACAGUGAGACUGACUGUGUGUAGUAGGCUGGUUUUGACAGCGAGACUCAGAUUCAAAUUCAAAAAUCCAUUCUAAGGGUUAUCACUGUGGCUCCGUGGGUAAAGGCCCUUGCCGCUAAAUCUAACGGCCUAAAUUCAAUCCUUGGGAUACACAAAGUGAAAGGAGGGGACUUUUUUUUAGAAGUUGUCCCCCUUCCAGCAACCCACAAACACAUGCCCUUCAGCACUAAAAUCUAACAAAUCUCUACUCUAAACUGGGUUGGACUCUUAGUGUGUUUUUUUUUGCUGGUUAUGCUGGGCAUUGAACCUGGAACUUUGAGAACACCAGCGAAGUGCUCUACCGCUGAGCUACAGUUCCAGUGUUUUUGUUUGUUGUUGGUUCCCCACCCCCACCCCCACCCCGAGACAGGGUUUCUCUGUGCAAUCCUGGCUGUCCUGGAACUCACUCUGUAGACCAGGUUGGCCUCGAACUCAGAAAUCCACCUGCCUCUGCCUCCCGAGUGCUGGGAUUAAAGGCGUGUGCCACCACACCCGGCAGCUUAUUGUUUGUUUGUUUGUUUGUUUUGAAACGAGGUCUCAGUAGGCAGCCCAGGUUGUCCUUGAACUCAUGAUCAUCCUGCCUUAGUCUCUGAUGGGAUGGCAGAUGGGCACUACCAUGCCCAUAUUUUAGUGAGUUCUUCAGUCACUUAGGAUCCAGUGUCUUCAUCAACCAAAGGCACACAGAAGAGCAAUGGGCACUACUAGCACUUAUGGGCACUACUAGCACCUAUCCACUGCUGUUCUCUCUACUCAUCACACCUCCUAGGAAUAUUUUAGGUAUUUAAAAUCUGCAAUGAACAGUGUUUCUUCUGAGCGUGUGCUGAGUGUUACCAUCUUGACAAGCCUUGUUUUGGGUACAGAGCACAGUGCAAGGAAGUUCUUUAGGAAUGAGGGAAGGCAAAAAACGUCAUUUCCAUGGUGACAGAGGACAGACCCCUGGCCUCAGAGGCUAAUGGAGCUCCCCACUUAUAUAAGGUACAUGACAGCAUUUAGUCUCUAGUGCAGAAUGGCUGUGGCCUGUGUGGUGGCUUGUAGGAGAGGGAGCCUUACAGACUCAUAGGUUUGCAUAUCUGAUCCCCAGUUGGUGGAACUGUUACGGAAGGAUCAGGAUCUAUGGCCUUAUAGGAUCUAUGGCCUUAUAGGAUCUAUGGCCUUGUACAGGGAGAUAUGUCACUGAGGGCAGGCUUGGAGGUUCCAAAACCCUGUCCAUUCCCAGUGUGGUGUCUCUGUCUCUAACUUGCAGUGAAAGAUGGACGCUCUCAGCUGUUCCUGCCGCCAUGCCUCUGAAACCAUCAGCUUAAAUGAAAUACUUUCUAAACUGUUUUGACCGUGGUAUCUUAUCACAGCGAUAGAAAAGUAAACUAAGACAUCCUGCCAACCUUCUUGCUUGAGAACUGUACCAACUGUGAAUGACCUGUUCAGAGAUGAAGCCUUAGAGACUGUCACCACCGUUCAGUGACAGUAUAAAUGUGGCUUCCGGGGGGAGAGAGGAGGCUGUCUCCUUCCCCUGAUGCAGUGCACUUCCUGCUUAUGAACCUGCAUGUGCCUGGCUCCUGGCUGGGCUGGGAACAAUCGGGGGCAGGGAAACGAUGUUCAUGAGAGACUCUGAGGAAGCUCCACAUGCUAACUCCAUUUUUUCCCUCUCUCUGGGGGGUUCCAGGAAGUAUGUGGCCCUUUCCUUGAUAGGUCACCAUAUCUAGAAGUCCUUAGUAUCUACUAUAGUAGGAUGGUCGCUGUGACAAGCUGACUAGUUGCUUGGCACUCCAAGAAGUUUCACAAGCACACCAGAUCCAGAGAUAUGGUGGACAAAACUCAUGUUGUCAACCAAAGGGAAAAGAAAACAAGGUUGCUGAAACCCUUGAGAACUGAGGCCUAAGGGUCACAUCAGAGACUGCGCAGACAUAAACAGUUAAAUUCAGGACACACUGUGGGCCGGCUAGGCUGCUGCAGAACAGCGGCUUAUACAAACCAUGAGUACAAACAUAUUUACUCAUGCAUACAUAGAUCCAUGCAUACACACUCACUCGUACAUACCUCAUGCACACCUACAUAUACAUUUGCACACAUACACAAACACAUAUACACACACAUGUGCAUACACAUGUAUACAUAUGCACACACAUGCACACAUAUGCCCACACAGGUACACACAUGUAUACACAAACACACACACACAACCUAUAUAUUUAUCUACACAUAAUGUAUUCACUACUACACAUAACAUUACAAAGCAGUAAAAUAAAUAUGAACUAAAACAGGCUGUAAGAAAAGGCAUAUACAAGUAGGAGAUUCUGGUUCCUUCCAAUACCCUUGUUCAGGGUCACAGGGCUUCCCUAUGGAAAACAGAGAUGGAUAAGCUACCCAGUCACACUCAGAAUGCUUCCUCGCUAGAAAUUAUUGUUUGUGGGUGAUUCAGAUGCACGUGGGCAUCUUUUUAUUUGCUAAAUCUGGCAAAGCUCAGGGGUCAGUAAAUGCUCUCGUUAAUACAGAAAAGGCCGCAGUAAAUAUUCCAGGCUUUUGCUGGCCUAUCUUUGCCACCCACUGAACUAAUUCAUCGUCAUGUGAAGGAGCACUAGGCAGUCCCUACAUAAGUAAGCUAUCUCUGUUUCAAUAAAACUUUAUUUACAGAACCAAGAACAUGUGGAUACUAAGCACAGCCUGCAGCUGUGGCGCCCCUGCCCUAGGGAUAACAAAGGUACAGCCCAUGUGAAAGACGACUCCUGGUCUGUAAGACACAGCGCCUGUACUUACAUGUCUACAGUAAUAUGGCCUUACACUGAAAAAAAAAAAGGUGGGGGGUUGAUGGAUAUUUUGUGCUUUCUGUAGGGUUUCAAGUCAGGGCCUGUAAAUAGACAGAGAAUGAUAAUAACUUCAUUUAAAACUGGGGAGGUUGAGAUGGGAAACGAGGCUAUCUAGCCUCACAUAUACAUGUACAUAUGCAUACACAUGCAUUCAUGCACACACACUUCAUGCAUACACGCAUAUACAUGUGCACAUAUACACAAACACAUAUGUAUACACGUGUGCAUACAUAUCACACACUUGCACACAUAAGCACACACAUACACACGUAGCCCCACACAGGUGUACACAUACCACACACACAAAUACACACAUACACAUCUAAACUAUGUGCUCUGGUGGAGUAGCCUUUAUUGUGUCAAAUUAAAAGCUUCCCCUUCCUCAAUUACUAGCAAUUCAAUCGGCCAAUUGGCAGCCAUAACACAUUAACCUUUCUGCCAAAUCAAUUUCACCAAGUCCCCUUCCAGCACUCAGAGAAAUUAAAUGGCACCCCUAUGCCUGUGAGGAGGGGCACACUGUCUGCACUGCCUAUUCUAGCUUCCCGUCCUCACCUGGAACUCUUAGCACAGUUCCUGACCAGGGUCCUUCUCCUUAGCAGAAUGCCAGGAGCCUGCCUUGAGUCGUUUCCCGUAUCCUACAACCAGCUGGGUACAAAGGCCCAAGGCAGUGGAUGCUGCCAACCACUAUCCACAGCGCAGGCCUCACAAACCUCACAGCCCUGUUGGUUUUGCUUGAGAUAAAACCAAAGUCUUGCUGUCACAAGUCCAGGUGAUGAAUACAUUCACCUGGACACUGAACCAACCCGCUGCUGAAGUCACACGGGUGUCAUGGGAGACGCCAGAUCCAGCCCUUCCUGCCACCUCUGGCUGGGGGCACCUGGGCUGGCUUCCUAAGAAUGGGAGGUCAAGCCUACAAGUGAUGGCACACACCUUUGAUCCCAGCACUUGGGAGGCAGAGGCAGGUGGAUCUCUGAGUUCGAGGCUAUCCUGGUCUACAGAGCAAGUUCCAGGUCAGCCAGGGCUACAAAGAGGAACUGUGCCUCAAAACAAAAUAAAACAAAACAAAACAAAACAAAGCAAAACAAAACGAAUGGGAAGUCUCAGAAGAUAAUAAGGCUGUUUUCUAGCUUUGCCAUGCUGGCUGCCUAGGGAUCAGGUGCAGACAUAGCAACAUGCUAUGUUAAAACCAACAUAUGCUAAAUUAAAACCAACCACAAUAAUAAAAAAAAAAAA